rnacentral:misc_RNA from 1 species
UCUCCGUUGGUGAACCAGCGGAGGGAUCAUUACCGAGUUUACAACUCCCAAACCCUAUGUGAACAUUACCUUUUGUUGCUUCGGCGGGAUCGCCCUGGCGCUUCACGGCGCCGGCUCUCAGCGCCCGCCGGAGGCCCAAAACUCUUGUUUAUUUCUGUUUCCUCUCCUAGUGGCACAAGCAAAAUAAAUCAAAACUUUCAACAACGGAUCUCUUGGUUCUG